CCUACGGGUGGCUGCAGUGGGGAAUAUUGCACAAUGGGCGCAAGCCUGAUGCAGCCAUGCCGCGUGUGUGAAGAAGGCCUUCGGGUUGUAAAGCACUUUCAGCGGGGAGGAAGGCGGUGAGGUUAAUAACCUCAUCGAUUGACGUUACCCGCAGAAGAAGCACCGGCUAACUCCGUGCCAGCAGCCGCGGUAAUACGGAGGGUGCAAGCGUUAAUCGGAAUUACUGGGCGUAAAGCGCACGCAGGCGGUCUGUCAAGUCGGAUGUGAAAUCCCCGGGCUCAACCUGGGAACUGCAUUCGAAACUGGCAGGCUAGAGUCUUGUAGAGGGGGGUGGAAUUCCAGGUGUAGCGGUGAAAUGCGUAGAGAUGUGGAGGAAGACCGGUGGCGAAGGCGGCCCCCUGGACAAAGACUGACGCUCAGGUGCGAAAGCGUGGGGAGCAAACAGGAUUAGAGACCCGGGUAGUC
rnacentral:rRNA from 1 species